GUGAAGAAGCCCGAUUGAUAGUGUGCUCAAUCGUGUCAAAGGAUAUCUUCUGCAACAGGAAAUGCUGACCCAUUUUAGCCAUCUCUGUAACCAGUGCUCCUCUGGGAUGAGCGUGGAAAACAUGCUGUGACAUGAAUUGAAGACCACCCGAAAGCUACAUUUCUGAAAUGGCACUUGGUCUAACAAUACCCGCUUCAGAGGAAUGAAGUGCAUGACUUUCCAAUCCAAAGAUGUCCAUGCUAACCACUAUACCAUAUGCUUAUUUAGAGAAGAUGUGUAGGCAAGGACAGUUUGCAGAUGAGGUCUGUGAGCAAUACCUUUUCCCCCUGAUUCAUAACCCUUACUCAUGAUUAUAGUCAAAGAAGAUCAUUUAGUUGUUUAUUACAUAAAGGAACCUGACAUGUUAUUUACAGGAAUAUCCUUACAUUAUACAGUCUUGGUUUUGUUUCUGGUAACUCUGAAACAGUACUGUGUGGUCCAGUGGUUAAAGAAAAGGGCUUGUAACCAGGAGGUCCCCGGUUCAAAUCCCACCUCAGCCACUGACUCAUUGUGUGACCCUGAGCAAGUCACUUAACCUCCUUGUGCUCUGUCUUUCGGGUGAAACGUAAUUGUAAGUGACUCUGCAGCUGAUGCAUAGUUCACACACCCUAGUCUCUGUAAGUCGCCUUGGAUAAAGGCGUCUGCUAAAUAAUAAUAAUAAUAUAAGCCAAUGAGACUCCUUGCAUUGGUUAACCAUGUAAUCUUACCCAGCUGUACAGACCAGAGAUCCAAUCUGCACAGCAGUUGACAUUAGCAAAAUUAAUAUAAACACAUAUAGAUAGAAAGAUAGAUAAAGGUUAAGACACUUGCUUGUGGUGGGCGUAGUCUACAGUAUACACAGAGCCUCCACCCAGUGAUAGAUAGAUAGAUACGUGUGUUACACAAAAUAAACCAAGAACAAAAAAUACAUAUUUUUUCAGUAUCUGCUUGAUAGGUGUGGUGUUUUUUAGGAAGAACUUGACCUCGUUGGUUGUCAUCUGAGCAAUACAUCUGGAAGAGUUCUUUGUAUAACCCGAUUCAUACAUUUUGUCGACAGGCAUUAAGAUUAACAAGCAGGGCAUUAUACAAUAAUUUAAUUUGUACUGUAGAUUGCAUUGUGGCUAUGCAGGGGUAUUCAUUGGUGAUGGGACAUGAGAAUGUGUCUGUUUGCAUUGGGCUGAAACCUUGUUUAGUCAGGUGUGGCUAUUAUCCUUACAUACUUCACUGAUCUCCUAGAAUGCCCUGCUAACUUGAUUGAACCUUGAUCACAUUUUCCUGUAAUUCCCCAGAGUUUAACAAUACACUAUGAAGUCAAUGCUAAUUUAU